rnacentral:rRNA from 1 species
GACGAACGCUGGCGGCGUGCUUAACACAUGCAAGUCGAACGGAAAGGCCCUGCUUUUGUGGGGUGCUCGAGUGGCGAACGGGUGAGUAACACGUGAGUAACCUGCCCUUGACUUUGGGAUAACUUCAGGAAACUGGGGCUAAUACCGGAUAGGAGCUCCUGCUGCAUGGUGGGGGUUGGAAAGUUUCGGCGGUUGGGGAUGGACUCGCGGCUUAUCAGCUUGUUGGUGGGGUAGUGGCUUACCAAGGCUUUGACGGGUAGCCGGCCUGAGAGGGUGACCGGCCACAUUGGGACUGCGAUACGGCCCAGUCUCCUACGGGAGGCAGCAGUGGGGAAUAUUGCACAAUGGGCGGAAGCCUGAUGCAGCAACGCCGCGUGCGGGAUGACGGCCUUCGGGUUGUAAACCGCUUUCGCCUGUGACGAAGCGUGAGUGACGGUAAUGGGUAAAGAAGCACCGGCUAACUACGUG